rnacentral:ribozyme from 1 species
GAAAACAAAAAAUCAGAAGACGAAAAACAGAGAGAAAAAUCGAAAGAAAAAGGGAGAGAAGUGGAAGAGGAUAUUGUUCCUUCACCAUUACCCCCUUUCUCUACCGCUCCUUUUCCCUUUC